rnacentral:tRNA from 1 species
GGUUUGUGGCUCAGUGGUAGAAUGCUUGCCUAGCAUGUGCAAGGCCCUGGGUUCGAUCCUCAGCACCA